rnacentral:rRNA from 1 species
CCUACGGGAGGCAGCAGUGAGGAAUAUUGGUCAAUGGGCGAGAGCCUGAACCAGCCAAGUCGCGUGAGGGAGUACUGCCCUAUGGGUUGUAAACCUCUUUUGUCGGGGAGCAAAAGCCGGACGUGUCCGGCUGUGAGAGUACCCGAAGAAAAAGCAUCGGCUAACUCCGUGCCAGCAGCCGCGGUAAUACGGAGGAUGCGAGCGUUAUCCGGAUUUAUUGGGGUUAAAGGGUGCGCAGGCGGAUGUUUAAGUCAGCGGUCAAAUCGUGGGGCUCAACCCCAUCCAGCCGUUGAAACUGGGGAUCUAGAGUGUGCGAGAGGUAUGCGGAAUGCGUGGUGUAGCGGUGAAAUGCAUAGAUAUCACGCAGAACCCCGAUUGCGAAGGCAGCAUACCGGUGCACAACUGACGCUCAGGCACGAAAGCGUGGGUAUCGAACAGGAUUAGAUACCCCUGUAGUC